UGGUGGCUCAAUGCAGCAGGGAAGCGACGGUGCAAAGCGCCAGAAGAAGUUUGGCUCCCAUGGCCAUGUCAAGAAGGGACCCGGGUCCUCGGCGGCGGCGGCGGCGACCGGGCGGAGGUUGCCGUCUCUGUGCGCUCCCGGGUAGAGGAAAGGCGAAAGCGGGAAACGGCCGUUGAGCACCCAAAGAAAGCGGUCCGGAGUUGCCGAUCCACGCAAUGCGGUUGGAAGCGAGAGAGCGGGGAAAGUGCUGCGCUCGGGGCUCGGGCGAAAGGAGCUUUCGAGACCUCGGCC